CACGUAGGGCGCAAGCGUUGUCCGGAAUUAUUGGGCGUAAAGAGCUCGUAGGCGGUCUGUUGCGUCCGCUGUGAAAACUCGGGGCUUAACCCCGAGCCUGCAGUGGAUACGGGCAGACUAGAGGUAGGUAGGGGAGAAUGGAAUUCCCGGUGUAGCGGUGAAAUGCGCAGAUAUUGGGAGGAACACCAGUGGCGAAGGCGGCUCACUGGACCGGUUCUGACGCUGAGGCAUGAAAGCGUGGGGAGCAAACAGG
rnacentral:rRNA from 1 species